rnacentral:tRNA from 1 species
GUUAGGGUGGCAGAGCUCGGUAAAUGCAAAAGACUUAAACUCUUUAUACCGGGGUUCAACUCCCCUUCCUAACU